GGAUUAGAUACCCUGGUAGUCCACGCCGUAAACGAUGAGUGCUAGAUGUCGGGGGACAUAGUCCUUCGGUGUCGCAGCUAACGCAUUAAGCACUCCGCCUGGGGAGUACGGUCGCAAGAUUAAAACUCAAAGGAAUUGACGGGGGCCCGCACAAGCGGUGGAGCAUGUGGUUUAAUUCGACGCAACGCGAAGAACCUUACCAGCCCUUGACAUACCAAUCGCGAUUUCCAGAGAUGGAUUUCUUCAGUUCGGCUGGAUUGGAUACAGGUGCUGCAUGGCUGUCGUCAGCUCGUGCUG
rnacentral:rRNA from 1 species